UGGGGAAUAUUGCACAAUGGGGGAAACCCUGAUGCAGCCAUGCCGCGUGUGUGAAGAAGGCCUUCGGGUUGUAAAGCACUUUCAGUAGGGAGGAAGGUAGUGUAGUUAACACCUGCAUUAUUUGACGUUACCUACAGAAGAAGCACCGGCUAACUCCGUGCCAGCAGCCGCGGUAAU
rnacentral:rRNA from 1 species